rnacentral:rRNA from 1 species
GACGAACGCUGGCGGCGUGGAUUAGGCAUGCAAGUCGAACGGUAGAUAUCCUUCGGGGUAUUGAGAGUGGCGAACGGGUGAGUAACACGUAGGUAAUCUACCCUCAAAUCGGGGACAACCCAGGGAAACUUGGGCUAAUACCGGAUGAGUGCAGCACCUAAAUCAUCCAUACGGAAUCUGGUUAAGAUUGGGUUUUGUAUGGUUGGGUGAUUUAGGUGCUGUAUAAAAGAUGGCUUCGGCUGUCGUUUGAGGAUGAGCCUGCGCUCUAUUAGUUAGUUGGUGAGGUAAUGGCUCACCAAGGCGAUGAUAGAUAGGCGGCCUUAACGGGUGGUCGCCCACACUGGGAUUGAGAUACGGCCCAGACUCCUACGGGAGGCAGCAGUCGAGAAUAGUCUACAAUGGACGAAAGUCUGAUAGUGCGACGCCGCGUGAACGAUGAAUCCCUUCGGGGUGUAAAGUUCUUUUAUAUGUGAGCAAUGCCUUAUAUGUGAAU